AGCAGCAGGCAGGAUUUGGGGGCCACAGGGCUGAGGCAGGCGGUAGACAAUGUGUCCCCUGUGUCCUUGAGGCUGAGGAGGGUGUCACACUUCUUGCUUCAGAGAUAAAGCUCCGGGGUUUGGCUUCUGUUGGCACAAAUUAAAAGGAAAAGCUUUACUGUGUGGGCUCCCAGAAGCUGCCGGCUGGUUGCACCCUGCAACAGGACAGGGACAUCCACCUCAGGCGGGGACAUUCUGGAGCCUCUCACCAACACUGCUCUGUUUCCCUAUUGCACACACCAGUGGCAGCCCAGGGAGCUCAGGGGUGCAGGUGUGGAAGCCCCAUCACAUUGGCCAUGUCCACCCCCCGAGGUGAUGCUGGUGCCAGGAGCAGCUGUGGCUGCCAGGAUGGUGACAUCUGCUCUGCACCCAGGCCCUGCCCCGCGUCCUUCCGCCGUGAGAACGGCCCUUGUGUUGGGCAAAACACGGGGUUGUGAUGUGAUCAGGUGGAUCUACCAGCCAGAACCAGCUUCUCCCAGCCCGCCCGCCGACCCUCCCCAGGCACCACACACCACGGGG